UUUGUUUGAAAAUGAUAACAGCCAUGGCCAUUCACAUGUCAUCACCAUGAGCGCAAUUGAUCAUGGAAGGAAUGUAGGGUUAGGGGUUUGUGCAAGUAUCAGUGUGACUGGCAUCCAGGGUCACUAAGGGUCCUUCUCAGUAGCAGAACCAAAAUAUUGCCCGCAUUCAUCUCUUGACCUCAGAAGGGAAGGAGCGGGGGACAUCUAGCCUCUCGAUCUGAGAUAACCGUGAGUGGAUAUUUCUGAAGUUAUGAAUUAACAAUAGAAAGUGAAAGGAACUGAAUCUACCGGUUCCUGGUGAUGAGUGGUAGGACUUAGUUAUUUUUUCAAGUGUAUGUUAUAUUCAUUACAAAAGCCUGAAUCUAACACAAAACUAGUGUAAAGGACCGUCCAAUACUUAACCAUCAGUAAUGUUUCGUGAAAAGGACCAUCUAAUCCUUAACCA